rnacentral:siRNA from 1 species
UCCAUGCGCUUGAUGGACACCUUC